GUGCUCGGUUUGGCAACACAUAUACUAAAAUUGGAACGAUACAGAGAAGAUUAGCAUGGCCCUAGCAUAAGGAUGACACACAAAUUCAUGAAGUUUUCCAUAUUUAA
rnacentral:snRNA from 1 species